AUGCUAAUGGUUUCAGAAGGUAAUAAAUAAUAAUGGAAUGUGAGAAUUCAAUUUUUACUUUGUUUUGAAUGGAAAUUGAGGCGCUAGAUUGUGUUAGGUUGAGCAUUGUAUAAGCGAUGGCGUGGUGUAAAAGACUUUUGGAAUUGUUCGUUUGCUUAUAGUACAUGCUUGCAGUUGCAGUUGUUAGUUGUAGUUACGAGCCCUAUUAUACUUUUGGUAGUUCCUAUCUGCCUAAACAAUCAUAUGACUUUUAUGAGACGUGGUCAGUGUUUAGGUAAUUAGAUGAUCUACUACUUUUUGGCUCUUUAUUACACAUAUAUUUAUUUGGGAAUUAGUUUGGUCAAUUGUGAUUGUAUAUCGAGAAAUUUUGUUUACUCAAAACUCAUUACUGUUUCGACUUUGAUGUUUGUGGCUAACAAAACUCUAUCAGCUGCUUCCUGUAGUUCUAGACAUGCAGAUGGACCUAAGUGUCUGGGAAGUUAAGCCUCUCAAGAUGACCGGUGAAAACGAGGCUCGGAAAAUUCUGGACAACGUAGCGAAACAGGUGCAGCCAAUCAUGCAUAAGCAUAAAUUGAAAGUUCAGGUCCUAUCUGAAUUCUGUCCAUCUAAUCCAUCCCUCAUGGGGUUGAACAUAGGAGGCGGCUCUGAGAUUAAGAUAAGAUUGAGAAGACCAGAAAGACAGUGGGAUUUCUUUCCCUAUGAGCAGAAAGUAUAGAGAAGACCCAACUCUUAUCUUGAGCGCGAUUCGUCACCCACACUUGCUGUUGUUACUUGGUGCUGUUCCAGAAGAGAGUUGCCUUAUAUAUGAGUACAGGAUCUGCUAUGAAGUAGCAAAUGCUCUUGCCUUUCUCCACAGCACUUUGUGAUUCCAUGUAAAAGUGUAAAAGUAUACUAGAAUUUAGUUCUAGAAUUAUUUUUUCACAGCCUAGAUGAUAGGAUCUGCUAUGUAAAAGUAUAUUAGAAUUUAGUUCUAGAAUUAUUUUUUCACUUGUAUCUACAUUUAUUAUCAAUAAUAAUUGAAUUGAUUAA